CCCUACCUAGAGGUACCCUCUACCCCCCAUCACCCCUAUUCCCUAUCUAGAGGUACCCUCUACCCCCCAUCACCCCUAUUCCCUACCUAGAGGUACCCUCUACCCCCCAUCACCCCUAUUCCCUAUCUAGAGGUACCCUCUACACCAUCACCCUAUGCCCUAUACCAUACAUACACCCUACACACUACGCCCUAUACCAUACAUACACCCUAAACACUACACACUGCACCCUAUUCCAUACACCCUACAACCUACACACUGCACCCUAUUCCAUACAUGCACCCUACAACCUACACACUGCACCCUAUUCCAUACACCCUACGCCCUACACACUACACCCUAUUCCAUACAUACACCCUACAACCUACACACUGCACCCUAUUCCAUACAUACACCCUACAACCUACACACUGCACCCUAUUCCGUACAUACACCCUACACCCUACACACUGCACCCUAUUCCAUACAUACACCCUAUAACCUACACACUGCACCCUAUUCCAUACAUACACCCUACACCCUACACACUGCACCCUAUUCCAUCCACCCUACACACUGCACCCUAUUCCAUACA
rnacentral:lncRNA from 1 species